AAAUCCGCACCACCACUACCCAUCUUUACUAAAACCCAACAAAAAACCAAGAAAGUCCAAAGCAGCUCUUACUUAUGGCUGGCGACCAGGCGGAGGUUAGAGCUUAAGCAUAGCCAAUUUUUACGAAGUGCACACAAAGAGAGAAAGAAAGAAAGAGAGAGAUAGAGCUUAAAAGGCUCAAGCUUUUUCUCUUCUCUGCUAAUCCUACGCACCCCUUGAGCUCUUUGAAGUGGGUCUGGUUCUGUUUCCUCAAAAAAAUCCAAAGAACACGAUGCCCACCACCACCUCUCCUCUCUUUCUCCCUGGGGGGAAAAGACCCACUUUCUCUCUCUAAAAAUUCA
rnacentral:misc_RNA from 1 species